CAAAGUUGUGUCUGCCGUAGCUCAGGAAAGACAAGAAGAAAUUGCAGCUGUUUUGCUGCAGUACCUGAAAAACUCUGCUGAUGUCAUCAACCGGCCAGCUUGCAGGGUAAACAUCCAGACCGAUUCCCAGUGGGUGGAAACAAACCUGGGCCCAUUUUCUCAAUACGCCACAUAUUUUGAGCUCAAAUUCUUCAACCUCUCUCAGGGAGCACUUGUGAGCGUUCUUUCACCCAAACAGAAAGCUGAGCUUCUGACAGAUCCAGGCAGCAAUGCUCUGGAGGAUGCCACCCUCGUAAAGGAGGUGCUCACAAACUUGACAGAGCCCGGCAAUGUGGAGCAGCUUGGUCAGUUUUUCCUGGUGUUCACACAGUCACUCCAGCAGACAAACACAACCUACAUCCAAAAUGUGGCGGUACGAGAGACCAUCUUAAACCUGACUCUGAGCAGCCUGGCUCUUAAAUUUGACGACUUUGAGGUACAAGACUACCAGCUGUGGUUU